GAUGAACGCUGGCGGUGUGCCUAAUACAUGCAAGUCGAGCGAACGGACGAGAAGCUUGCUUCUCUGAUGUUAGCGGCGGACGGGUGAGUAACACGUGGAUAACCUACCUAUAAGACUGGGAUAACUUCGGGAAACCGGUGCUAAUACCGGAUAAUAUUUUGAACCGCAUGGUUCAAAAGUGAAAGGCGGUCUUGCUGUCACUUAUAGAUGGAUCCGCGCUGCAUUAGCUAGUUGGUAAGGUAACGGCUUACCAAGGCAACGAUGCAUAGCCGACCUGAGAGGGUGAUCGGCCACACUGGAACUGAGACACGGUCCAGACUCCUACGGGAGGCAGCAGUAGGGAAUCUUCCGCAAUGGGCGAAAGCCUGACGGAGCAACGCCGCGUGAGUGAUGAAGGUCUUCGGAUCGUAAAACUCUGUUAUUAGGGAAGAACAUAUGUGUAAGUAACUGUGCACAUCUUGACGGUACCUAAUCAGAAAGCCACGGCUAACUACGUG
rnacentral:rRNA from 1 species